GAACCGUGCGAACGUUGUUCGGAAUCACUGGGCUUAAAGGGCGCGUAGGCGGGUCUUCAAGUCCGUGGUGAAAGCCCCCGGCUCAACCGGGGAACGGCCGCGGAGACUGGAGACCUCGAGGGGGGUAGGGGCGCGCGGAACGCCGGGUGGAGCGGUGAAAUGCGUUGAUAUCCGGCGGAACUCCGGUGGCGAAAGCGGCGCGCUGGGCCCCGUCUGACGCUGAGGCGCGAAAGCCAGGGGAGCGAACGGGAUUAGAUACCCCGGUAGUCCUGGCCCUAAACGUUGGGGACCAGGUAGCGGGCCGGCAUGGGCUCGCUGCCGGAGCGAAAGUGCUCAGUCCCCCGCCUGGGGAGUAUGGUCGCAAGGCUGAA
rnacentral:rRNA from 1 species